UGCCUCUUGUUCUCAUUUUCCUCUUAAAGAUUUUUAUAGAAAAUUCUUGAUCUACGAAGAUCUAACGGUCCGAUCUUCAAUUCGACUUUGGUAACGUGAUCUACAAAGCUCAAUCUACGUUGCUACUGAUUGGUUUGAGGAUUUGUUGUGUGGAGCUUGCUAAACACUCUCCAAGUGUUGGAUUUACAUUUGGUGAAAUUUUUGACAUUGAUGCUUUGAUUGUAGGUUCUAUGGAUAUAGAUAUGGACUCGUCCACCUAGAGUAUGUGAUGCUAUAAUUGGACCACAUCGCGAUAGUCAUUAGUCACGGAAUCAUGGGUAGUCCGCAUUUGGGUAUUUUAUUUAUGGCUCGUGUCCUACGUGGCAUAUGUAUUUGUUGAGCCUGUAUUUUAGUAUGUAGUUAGUGUAAUGUGUUUUAUAAACCUUAAAUAGAUAGACUUGAAAAUGGUUCUUGUUGUAAUUAACUGUUAUGUAUUAUAUGUAUUUUUGCUUAUGAUAAGUGUUCCA